AGCAUUACGUCACAAAUGUGUGAGCACCUACACAAAGCCUGCAAAUGCUGGACAAGGAACCUCAUGCAAAUAAUAUGGCAGUAUUGGCAGGAAUGAUGGAGGAAUCCCUUUAAAAUGUACACUUCAGACAGCAGCAGCUAACAGAAGGCCUGACCAUCAGAAGGGAAAGUAUACAUGCAGAUGAAUGUGUGGCAGCACUGGGAUCCUCCACAUAUCCAGCUGAUUACGAGAACUAUGACUACCUCCAUAGUCAGAGUCAUUCUUUAGAAUCAGACAGAUGUGUAUGGGCUGGAGUAUGUACAUAUUAGGGCCAUAACAGUUCUGAAAACUGGUGAAGAGAAGCCACUCACCAUUUGAUACUAACAGCUCAAAGGUGAAGAAUAUUCCAUUAAAUAAAGCACUAAAGAAGAUAAGCCUCUCCUCAAGAGACAAAGGGCCAACCCCAAAUGAAGUCAACGCUGCGGGUCUUAAGGUCAUCUCCUGCUCAUGAGAAACUGGUCACUUCUGGUGUGAGUUAAGAUGAAUGGAGAGAGAAUUGGUUUCCAGAGACCACAGUGAAAAAGCUUAAGAACAUAAUAAAGACUGUAAGUUCCCCAAA
rnacentral:lncRNA from 1 species